AUUGGGUGUCUUAGUUUUUCUUAAUAUCAUGGAUCUUUUUGUGCUGCUAAGAUUUGUUUGGGCUGGAUCGGUCGUGAUGUCUAUGCUCGUUUUGAUUAAAUGUUUUUUUAAUCACCUGCUGGACAAGAAAGUCUAAGUGCCAAAGAUAUCCCCUUCUGAAUAACUCUUCAUCUGCCAACUAACGAGUAUACCCAAUCCGUCUUUGAUAAAUGUCUGAGUAUUUAGCGUACGCUUUUUUGGUUAUCGGAUCCUUCACCACAGAACCAGGUUGAAUCGGGAUACGAUCAACUUUAGCUUCUUAUUGGUUAAGUCAAAUAUAAUCAUUAUUAUUAUUUCGAAGAUUCCAGAAAUGGGGAAGAAUUACUUCUAAAUUUAACUGACUUUUUUUGAAUUACCUGCUGGAUGAGGAAGUGUAUGUGACAGAGAUGUCUGAUUCCGAAUAACACUAUGUGCCAGCUAACCAUUAUGUUCGAUCCAUCCGUGAUCAUUAUGAUACAUAGCAUAAUCUUUUGUUUCUCCUGGAAGUCGCGCUGUAGCACCGCGAUCAGGGAUCAUUGCCA